GACAGAGAUGGCAAGCGUUAUCCGGAAUGAUUGGGCGUAAAGCGUCUGUAGGUGGCUUUUUAAGUCCGCCGUCAAAUCCAGGGCUUAACCCUGGACCUGCAUCGGGUACGGGCAGACUAGAGUGCGGUAGGGGAGAUCGGAAUUCCUGGUGGUAGCGGUGAAAUGCGCAGAUAUCAGGAGGAACACCGGUGGCGAAAGGCG
rnacentral:rRNA from 1 species